AGACCCGAAACCCGGUGAUCUAGCCAUGGGCAGGUUGAAGGUUGGGUAACACUAACUGGAGGACCGAACCGACUAAUGUUGAAAAAUUAGCGGAUGACCUGUGGCUGGGGGUGAAAGGCCAAUCAAACCGGGAGAUAGCUGGUUCUCCCCGAAAGCUAUUUAGGUAGCGCCUCGUGAAUUCAUCUCCGGGGGUAGAGCACUGUUUCGGCUAGGGGGCCAUCCCGGCUUACCAACCCGAUGCAAACUGCGAAUACCGGAGAAUGUUAUCACGGGAGACACACGGCGGGUGCUAACGUCCGUCGUGAAGAGGGAAACAACCCAGACCGCCAGCUAAGGUCCCAAAGUCAUGGUUAAGUGGGAAACGAUGUGGGAAGGCCCAGACAGCCAGGAUGUUGGCUUAGAAGCAGCCAUCAUUUAAAGAAAGCGUAAUAGCUCACUGGUCGAGUCGGCCUGCGCGGAAGAUGUAACGGGGCUAAACCAUGCACCGAAGCUGCGGCAGCGACGCUGAUGCGUUGUUGGGUAGGGGAGCGUUCUGUAAGCCUGUGAAGGUGUGUCGUGAGGCAUGCUGGAGGUAUCAGAAGUGCGAAUGCUGACAUAAGUAACGAUAAAGCGGGUGAAAAGCCCGCUCGCCGGAAGACCAAGGGUUCCUGUCCAACGUUAAUCGGGGCAGGGUGAGUCGACCCCUAAGGCGAGGCCGAAAGGCGUAGUCGAUGGGAAACGGGUUAAUAUUCCCGUACUUGGUGUUACUGCGAAGGGGGGACGGAGAAGGCUAUGUUGGCCGGGCGACGGUUGUCCCGGUUUAAGCGUGUAGGUGUGUGUUCCAGGUAAAUCCGGUUCACUUUAACACUGAGGCGUGACGACGAGGCACUACGGUGCUGAAGCAACAAAUGCCCUGCUUCCAGGAAAAGCCUCUAAGCAUCAGGUAACAUCAAAUCGUACCCCAAACCGACACAGGUGGUCAGGUAGAGAAUACCAAGGCGCUUGAGAGAACUCGGGUGAAGGAACUAGGCAAAAUGGUGCCGUAACU
rnacentral:rRNA from 1 species